AGUGAACGCUGGCGGUAGGCCUAACACAUGCAAGUCGAACGGCAGCACAGGAGAGCUUGCUCUCUGGGUGGCGAGUGGCGGACGGGUGAGGAAUACAUCGGAAUCUACUCUGUCGUGGGGGAUAACGUAGGGAAACUUACGCUAAUACCGCAUACGACCUACGGGUGAAAGCAGGGGAUCUUCGGACCUUGCGCGAUUGAAUGAGCCGAUGUCGGAUUAGCCAGUUGGCGGGGUAAAGGCCCACCAAGGCGACGAUCCGUAGCUGGUCUGAGAGGAUGAUCAGCCACACUGGAACUGAGACACGGUCCAGACUCCUACAGGAGGCAGCAGUGGGGAAUAUUGGACAAUGGGCGCAAGCCUGAUCCAGCCAUACCGCGUGGGUGAAGAAGGCCUUCGGAUUGUAAAGCCCUUUUGUUGGGAAAGAAAUCCAGCUGGCUAAUACCCGGUUGGGAUGACGGUACCCAAAGAAUAAGCACCGGCUAACUUCGUGCCAGCAGCCGCGGUAA
rnacentral:rRNA from 1 species